AACGAACGCUGGCGGCAGGCUUAACACAUGCAAGUCGAGCGCCCCGCAAGGGGAGCGGCAGACGGGUGAGUAACGCGUGGGAAUCUACCCAUCUCUACGGAACAACUCCGGGAAACUGGAGCUAAUACCGUAUACGUCCUUUUGGUGAAAGAUUUAUCGGAGAUGGAUGAGCCCGCGUUGGAUUAGCUAGUUGGUGGGGUAAUGGCCUAGCAAGGCGACGAUCCAUAGCUGGUCUGAGAGGAUGAUCAGCCACACUGGGACUGAGACACGGCCCAGACUCCUACGGGAGGCAGCAGGGGGGAGUAUUGGACAAUGGGCGAAAGCCUGAUCCAGCCAUGCCGCGUGAGUGAUGAAGCCCCUAGGGUUGUAAAGCUCUUUCAACGGUGAAGAUAAUGACGGUAACCGUAGAAGAAGCCCCGGCUAACUUCGUGCCAGCAGCCGCGGUAA
rnacentral:rRNA from 1 species